rnacentral:rRNA from 1 species
GUGACAAACCGGAGGAAGGUGGGGAUGACGUCAAGUCAUCAUGGCCCUUACGGCCUGGGCUACACACGUGCUACAAUGGUCGGUACAGAGGGUUGCCAAGCCGCGAGGUGGAGCUAAUCUCACAAAACCGAUCGUAGUCCGGAUCGCAGUCUGCAACUCGACUGCGUGAAGUCGGAAUCGCUAGUAAUCGCGAAUCAGAAUGUCGCGGUGAAUACGUUCCCGGGCCUUGUACACACCGCCCGUCACACCAUGGGAGUGGGUUGCACCAGAAGUAGCUAGUCUAACCUUCGGGGGGACGGUUACCACGGUGUGAUUCAUGACUGGGGUGAAGUCGUAACAAGGUAGCCGUAGGGGAACCUGCGGCUGGAUCACCUCCUUAAUCGACGAC